AUUGAACGCUGGCGGCAUGCUUUACACAUGCAAGUCGGACGGCAGCACAGAGAAGCUUGCUUCUUGGGUGGCGAGUGGCGAACGGGUGAGUAACAUAUCGGAACGUACCGAGCAGUGGGGGAUAACUAAUCGAAAGAUUAGCUAAUACCGCAUAUUUUCUGAGGAAGAAAGCAGGGGACCAUUUGGCCUUGCGCUGUUUGAGCGGCCGAUAUCUGAUUAGCUAGUUGGUGGGGUAAAGGCCUACCAAGGCGACGAUCAGUAGCGGGUCUGAGAGGAUGAUCCGCCACACUGGGACUGAGACACGGCCCAGACUCCUACGGGAGGCAGCAGUGGGGAAUUUUGGACAAUGGGCGCAAGCCUGAUCCAGCCAUGCCGCGUGUCUGAAGAAGGCCUUCGGGUUGUAAAGGACUUUUGUCAGGGAAGAAAAGGGCGGGGUUAAUACCUCUGUCUGA
rnacentral:rRNA from 1 species